GAUGAACGCUGGCGGCGUGCCUAAUACAUGCAAGUCGAGCGAACGGACGAGAAGCUUGCUUCUCUGAUGUUAGCGGCGGACGGGUGAGUAACACGUGGAUAACCUACCUAUAAGACUGGGAUAACUUCGGGAAAUCGGAGCUAAUACCGGAUAAUAUUUUGAACCGCAUGGUUCAAAAGUGAAAGACGGUCUUGCUGUAACUUAUAGAUGGAUCCGCGCUGCAUUAGCUAGUUGGUAAGGUAACGGCUUACCAAGGCAACGAUGCAUAGCCGACCUGAGAGGGUGAUCGGCCACACUGGAACUGAGACACGGUCCAGACUCCUACGGGAGGCAGCAGUAGGGAAUCUUCCGCAAUGGGCGAAAGCCUGACGGAGCAACGCCGCGUGAGUGAUGAAGGUCUUCGGAUCGUAAAACUCUGUUAUUAGGGAAGAACAUAUGUGUAAGUAACUGUGCACAUCUUGACGUUACCUAAUCAGAAAGCCACGGCUAACUACGUG
rnacentral:rRNA from 1 species